rnacentral:rRNA from 1 species
AUUGAACGCUGGCGGCAGGCCUAACACAUGCAAGUCGAGCGGAUGAAGGGAGCUUGCUCCUGGAUUCAGCGGCGGACGGGUGAGUAAUGCCUAGGAAUCUGCCUGGUAGUGGGGGAUAACGUCCGGAAACGGGCGCUAAUACCGCAUACGUCCUGAGGGAGAAAGUGGGGGAUCUUCGGACCUCACGCUAUCGGAUGAGCCUAGGUCGGAUUAGCUAGUUGGUGGGGUAAGGGCCUACCAAGGCGACGAUCCGUAACUGGUCUGAGAGGAUGAUCAGUCACACUGGAACUGAGACACGGUCCAGACUCCUACGGGAGGCAGCAGUGGGGAAUAUUGGACAAUGGGCGAAAGCCUGAUCCAGCCAUGCCGCGUGUGUGAAGAAGGUCUUCGGAUUGUAAAGCACUUUAAGUUGGGAGGAAGGGCAGUAAGUUAAUACCUUGCUGUUUUGACGUUACCAACAGAAUAAGCACCGGCUAACUUCGUG